UACGGAAGGGGCAAGCGUUGUUCGGAAUCAUUGGGCGUAAAGGGCGCGUAGGUGGUUCUGUAUGUCUACUGUGAAAGCGUACAGCUUAACUGUAUUUUGUCGGUAGAAACUGCAGGACUUGAGGCUGGGAGGGGCUGGUGGAAUUCCCUGUGUAGCGGUGAAAUGCGUAGAGAUGGGGGAGAACACUCGUGGCGAAGGCGGCCAGCUAGACCAGUUCUGACACUGAGGCGCGACAGCGUGGGGAGCAAACAGG
rnacentral:rRNA from 1 species